rnacentral:tRNA from 1 species
UAUAAGAUGCCUGAAAAAAGGACGAUCUUGAUAGGAUUGAUCAUAUGGCUCCCCCCAUUCUUAUAA